rnacentral:lncRNA from 1 species
AGUACAAUAGUACAAAAAUGAAGAAAUCCGUGCAAAAAGUAGCUAAGUCCAUAUUUUUCUAUUAACAGAGUUAAGUGGUUAUAAAAAAUUGAGUAUGGCUAUCAGAUUGAGGUUCGUCAAAUGGUAUGAUUGGUUGCAACUCCUACAUGGAGUAGAAACUUGGACUUUGAAAGCCCAAUCCAAAAAAGGAAAAUUGGAAGCCUUCGAAUUGUGGUUAUAUAGAUGUAUUCUAAAAAUUCCUUGGACUGCAAAAGUUUCAAAAACGAAGAAGUGUUAAGACGAACUGGACAUGGCAAAAAGCUUAGAAACACAAUUAAAAUAAGAAAAACAUCUUAUUUGGGAACUUCGAAACGAUAAAUACUCUCUGCUACAAGUCGUCAUGCAAGGAAGAGUAGAGGGAAGAAAAAUCUUGGGAAGAAAUAAGAAAUCUUGGCUGAGGAAUAUCAGAGAUUGGACUAACUUCAGUGAUGAACAGAUAUUUUACGUUGCAAAAAAUAGGGAAGAGUUUGAGUGAUUGCCAACCUUCGUUAGAAGACGGAACAAUAAGAAGAAGAAGAGUUAAGGGCAACAUCUAUAUUAAAUCAUAUGUACUAUAAGUUGGCGAAAACAACACAAGUUGAUAUUUUAAUCAAUCCUCAUUUCAGUGCAAGAAGUCGCUAAGUGUCAAAAAAACGUCAAGUUCAUGGACUUAACCACUUGUUACUACAGCGACACAAAAAAAUCACUGUCUGAUUUUGGAAGAGUGAUUGGACUGUAAACGUAUUUUGAAGUACACUUGGUGACUUGGUGUAUGGGUAAAGAAGACUUAAUAUGACUAUAUUUGCUAUAGUUGUUUGAGGUUGAGAGAGAUUGAAGGGGGGAUUAGCGUUAUCACAUGUGAAUUUAUUUUGAAAAAUUAAUUGAUGGAAGAGUAUUGGGCACAGUUUUUGGUGUGAAGAAAAAAAAGUGGCAUUAAAAGGGUUACAGUUUAUAAACAGGCAGAAAAAAAUAACCUGCAUCUAACAUUGGUCAUUUUUUGCAAACCACUAAAAUUUAUAGAAAUAAACAACUAUUUACAUCUAAAUCUGUAAAUUUACAUCUAAUAUGUAUUGUUUACAAAAUAGUUGAAAAAAAAUAUUAAAAACUCUCCACAGAUUACAUCAAUUGCAUGAAAAACAAAAAUGUGGUUUUUGUAUUAUUUUUGGAAAUGUCAAAAUGAUUCAAAGCAUGCGCAAAUUCGUAUGUUCAACAUAAUAGGUCUUGGGCCCACCCUAAAAAAAA